rnacentral:misc_RNA from 1 species
GAGAGCGAGGAAUCGGACGCAGUGUUGACCUGAGUGGCCCAGGUGACCCUCGGGGGGAGGGGGGGACGGCCACUGCUGGCUCUCUCUCACUGACAUAUGCUACUUGUUUUACCUAAGUUUAUUGGAAGAAGACGUUACCUACUAAUCUUAUCUACACGGUCUACUUGUGUCUGUUAUCUACAGCAGAUAUACCCUGAAAGUGGUGAUGGUAGACGGUGAUACGUCUAGGUGUGUGUUGUGGUGCUCUCGGUCUGGGUGACGGUACACCCACCCACCACUAAGAUAAAUUUCAAAAUCUGCAUUACCAAUAAUUUUGAUGGCAAUAAAGAGUAGUGCAAUAUGGGAGGCUUCAGUAAACUACUGCCAUACACUUGUUAUGAGCUUGGACACUGCUUCAAUCACUCUUGUUGCUUUGCAAGUUUGGAAAUAUGCAUCAUUGGAUUUAUUGAGAGCUGCAAGAUCUAUGGACUAGUUUAUUUGCUCACUGCACUCAUAAAAUCUCGGAAACUAAGCUUCGAAUAUGGACGGAAAUUGUUAAAAGAUUAUAUAACAUCUGUGUGCUUUUUAACAGUCAAUGCCUUUGGAUACAUUGGUUCCUUCUGUGUCUUAAGGCACAUUCUUGGUCAUGUGAACUUCCUGUCUGCAUCAUUCCUGCCUGGUAUGAUUGGUAGUCUCAUGGCUAUAAAUGUGGAACGACCAGAACGUAGAUCCCUACUGGCCAUUUACGUUACUAAUGUGGCAUCAGAAUGCUUGUGGAAUGUUGCAGUGGGACAUGGCUAUGUGAAGGCCAUUCCUCGAGGUGAAAUCUUGGUAUUUGCCGGGGCCAUGGCAGUUUUAGGAUACACUUUCCGGUCAUCAAAGCCCUUUAGCAAACUAAUGAACUCGAUUCUUCAACUCAUUUUAGGUGGUAGUGAAUCAGGUCCGAUGAUUGUAGCUCGAAAUGCGCGCGCACACAAGGAACUGCAGCAUCCUCAGCCAAAGCAGAAGUCAUGGUUCUGGAGACUGUCGUCACUGUUUACUCGCUCUCAUCCAUUGUGUCCUCAUAAACGUGGCUGUCUUCCAAACUUUGUUAUGAUGGGUGUCCAAGGAUUUUUAAAGGGCUUCCUUCUGCAGUUUGCAGUCAAAUUCAUGUCAUCAUUUCCAAGAUUAUUAAGAAGCCCAUCAAAGCUCCAUGGCUUGUUAUUUAGCAGAAACAACGUCAAUGCUGGUCUAUUCUUUGCUUGGUUUAUAUCAGUAUUUAAGGGGACGUGUUGCGCUGGGCGCUGGUGGCAUGGGAAGGAGGCGCCAUCGCACGGAGCAGUUGCUGGUGUGCUGUCGGCUCUUUCAAUGUAUUUCUACUCUGCCCCAUCUAUUGCACUUUAUAUUAUGUGGAAAGUUCUUGAGGUGGCACCCAGCCAUGCUCGGGGACCUGGAAAGGUGAACCAUUCACGCUUGAUCCUACACUGAAAGUGAAGGGCUCAGAGGAGGGAAACAAGGGUGGAUCUGAGAAGUUACUAAAGGCCACCUAGAAAGAGAGUUCAUUACACUUAAUGCAGGGUGUGUAUGAAAAGGGUUGUGAUGAGGGUUACCUCCCUCGUAUUCCCGGGUCUGUGGAACUGCUCUACUCACUGUCUACUGGUUAUCUCUUUCACGUGGCUGUGAUAGAGAAGUGUUACAUGAAACCGUCUUAC